UGCAGAGAAGAUAGUGUUUCAUGGUGCCGUUUAUUGACCGUACUAAGCUGGGCAGGGAAGGUCCGUACUCCCAAGAACCCCAUUCGAGCUCCGAUAACUCUCGGUGCCCCAAGAGGGUGGGACGGGGCCGUGUAAUGGCCGGUGAUGUUGGUGAGGAGAGAGAGGGAGUGCUGCAACUCGGAAGAAAAUAAAGCUCUUUCGUGGAGCUCGUGCACGCGUUUAGAGGGCUUUUUGCAAUUACUUUGCCUCAAAACCAUCCGGAAUCCGGCCCUUCCCAUCGCACUGCUACAGCCCUAGACACCUUUUCGCCGCAAACUGUGCAAGUGUCUCUUGCCGGGGCUUGCCUCGCUCAUCCUCAGUGCUGCGAACCUGGGGAGUUACUGUCUGUUCCCUGCUGAAAAGCCGGACCGGCACCUCUUCAAGAUUCCGCUUCUUUCAUCCGGAGUUGCCCCUCUCCUCCCCCACAGCCACUUGGGUUCCAGUUUAGUCUUGCCGACGACUUUCUCUGCCUGGCAUGCCCUUGCUCUCAAAUGUCACAGCUCCUAUGAAGCCUCACUCAAAUUCUGAGACAUUUAUUACACUACCGUUUCUAAUGGAAAAAGAGCAUGUGGUUUCAUGGUCUACGGCUGCCAGAUGUUUCCCAGGUUUCAAUGGUCCUGGUAGAUAAAAGAAAAUUAGCAAGGUCAGAAGAGAGAAGAGAUUUAUCAUGGAAUAGAAAUAACUGUAUUCCAAGUGUACAGAAGGGGAAGAAUUGAAGUAUUUCUGAUAGGAAGCAAAGACCCACAAUGAUAAAUGAAGGUUUCUAAACCUCCAGUGACAUUAAGAAACCAAGCUCUUCUGGAUGAAAAUGAGAGAAGUCAUCUAUGUGCUGAAAAGUAUUUACAUCAGUUAAGAUCAUUCCCAGAACCUCA